UAAUACGUAGGAUGCAAGCGUUGCUCGGAAUUACUGGGCGUAAAGCGCGCGUAGGUGGCUCUUUAAGUCGGAUGUGAAAGCCCUGGGCUCAACCUGGGAAUUGCAUUCGAAACUGCAGAGCUAGAGUAUGGUAGAGGGAAGUGGAAUUUCCGGUGUAGCGGUGAAAUGCGUAGAUAUCGGAAGGAACACCAGUGGCGAAGGCGACUUCCUGGGCCAAUACUGACGCCGAGGUGCGAAAGCGUGGGGAGCAAACAGGAUUAGAUACCCUGGUAGUCCACGCCGUAAACGAUGAGAACUAGAUGUCGGGGGGGUUUGCCCUUCGGUGUCGCAGCUAACGCGUUAAGUUCUCCGCCUGGGGAGUACGCCGGCAACGGUA
rnacentral:rRNA from 1 species